rnacentral:misc_RNA from 1 species
UUUCCGUAGGUGAACCUGCGGAAGGAUCAUUAAUGAGUUGUCAUGGGGUUCGAUGCUGGCAGCCAAUUUUUGGAUGCAUGUGCUUGCCCUAACAAUCAUCUUCCAAACACCUGUGCACAUUUUUGAGGGAGUCUUGAGUUGGUUGCCGCUCUUGGGUGAUUUUCUCACAUUGCCUUGAAUCAUUAUACGCUAUUAACAAUGUUGAACGUGCUCUGUGCCGCAAGGCUAUUAAUAUAAUACAACUUUUAACAACGGAUCUCUUGGCUCUC